CAGGAUGAACGCUAGCGGCAGGCUUAAUACAUGCAAGUCGUACGGGAUCCGAGGUAGCAAUACUUUGGUGAGAGUGGCGCACGGGUGCGUAACACGUAUGCAACCUACCUUUAACCGGGACACAACCUCGAGAAAUUGAGGCUAAUAUCCCAUAACACUGCGAAAUGGCAUCAUUUUGCAGUUAAAACUCCGGUGGUUAUUGGUGGGCAUGCGCGACAUUAGCUAGUUGGUGAGGUAACGGCCCACCAAGGCUACGAUGUCUAGGGGUUCUGAGAGGAUUAUCCCCCACACUGGUACUGAGACACGGACCAGACUCCUACGGGAGGCAGCAGUAAGGAAUAUUGGUCAAUGGGCGCAAGCCUGAACCAGCCAUGCCGCGUGAAGGAUGACGGCCCUAUGGGUUGUAAACUUCUUUUGUACGGGAAAAAACCACCGGUCGUGUAUCGGUGCUGAUGGUACCGUAAGAAUAAGCAUCGGCUAACUCCGUGCCAGCAGCCGCGGUAAUACGGAGGAUGCAAGCGUUAUCCGGAUUCAUUGGGUUUAAAGGGUGCGCAGGCGGAGUGAUAAGUCAGUGGUGAAAGCCUACAGCUUAACUGUAGAACUGCCAUUGAUACUGUCAUUCUUGAGUAUUGUUGAGGUAGGCGGAAUGUGUCAUGUAGCGGUGAAAUGCUUAGAUAUGACACAGAACACCGAUCGCGAAGGCAGCUUACCAAGCAAUAACUGACGCUCAUGCACGAAAGCGUGGGGAUCAAACAGGAUUAGAUACCCUGGUAGUCCACGCCGUAAACGAUGAUCACUCGAUGUUGGCGAUACACAGUCAGCGUCUUAGGGAAACUAUUAAGUGAUCCACCUGGGGGAGUACGGUCGCAAGAUUGAA
rnacentral:rRNA from 1 species